GCACCCGUAGCCGAACGGAUAAGGCACCAGUCUACGAAACUGGCGAUUGCUGGUUCGAGUCCAGCCGGGUGCGCCA
rnacentral:tRNA from 1 species